ensembl:snoRNA LOC120102665 small nucleolar RNA SNORA17
GCUGCCUCUAGAAGCCUUGCAGGUAUAACUCCUCUGUCACACAUGCAUUAGUAGGUGGCAGAGAAGAGAGAGGCUAUGCUAUGAUCAGUAUUCUGACCUGUGAACAUCUGAAUGAUAGUAGCCUAACACU